UUCAUAUAUCUUUAUUAUAUGGUUAUGGAUGAAUAAGAACAAUAUUGAAUUACAUUUGUACCUUCGGCUUGACAGAAGGUAAAAAUACAAGCGUGACACACGAGUGAAUACAAAUUAGCGUGAACAGUACGUGGGUACUGUUCAUCUAUUUAUAGGCACAGGACGCAGCCUGUGUAAAAUUACAUUCAUGCCCUUUAUAUUUAGUAUUAACUUAAGAACAAUCUGUUGAGGACUAAAUAGUCUCUUCCUCCUUAAGUCGGUUCCUUUAUCUGCUAUUGAGUCGAAGCUUCCUUGCGCACGGCUUCAGCACUGGUUCAACCUUCGUUCUGACCCUGCUUUCCAUAUUGUAUACAGCUUCAUCCCAUGUCCGAAGGUUCCUGCCCAUAUAUUAUGCUUUGGGAAACAUUGUUAGUCAUGUUUUUGAGGACCUUCGGAAGACAAAGGCCCCCAACACGAGAAUAAUCAAAAAAGUAAUUCUGAUUAACCAUUUUCUUUUUCGACGAAGAGUCUUCGUCGUUGUCGUCCCUUGGUGAAGAAGAGGAAGAGUCGCUGUCGUAGUAGAUGAUGUUCUUUAUGCGCCUCUUCUUCUUCCCAUCCCUUUUCUUGUGACUUGAGCCUGAGUUAGUGGGCUUUUCGCCUUUUGGCUCAUCGACAUAGAGGGUCUCCUUCUUCUUGUCGUUGAUCACCAUCCCCUAACCUUUAUGAUCCAUCUCUUCGAGCGGUUAGUCCCUGAAUGAAGAUUACGGCUCUGAUACCAAUUGAGAGCAUCUAAAGGGGGUGAAUAGGUGAUCUUGUAAAAAAUCAAUACUAGACAACACAAACUUGGUUUAUGAAAUGUUAGUGAAGUCAAAAACCAAGAUGCUAUGACUAGAGAGGGAGACAACUUCUUCACUUAAUUGCCCUUCACAAGAUGAGUAUUAAACUUAGAGCAGUUAUAAAGUGAGUAGAAGUAAAGACAAUCGCACAAGAAUAAAGACAAUUGACACGGUGAUUUUUAUCUCGUGGUUUAGCCAAGUGGAACACUUGCCUAGUCCACGUUGUGGCAUCCCAACGGACGAGGGUUGCACUCAACCCCUUUCAAGUGAUCUAAUGAUCCACUUGAAUACCACAGUUUUCUUUAUCUCGAAUUUAUCCACUUUGUGAGGAAUCUCCAUAAGUUGGAGCCUCUCACCCUUACAAGAUUAAUCACAAUGAAACCACAAGAGUAAGGUGGGAACAGAAACACACGCAAGAGCUAGAGUCGCAGCAACGACACGCACACAAGUCAAGAACCGAGCACAAAACACAACGUGGCGAGUUCACAGCUCAAACAAGUGCUUAAAUCUCAAAGACAAUGAAUCGGAUGUGUGUUUGCGGAGUCUAGGCGUCUUAGGAUGUUCAAUGGAGGCUUGGUGUACUGCUCCAUGUGCCUAGGGGUCCCUUUUAUAGCCCCAAAGCAGCUAGGAGCCGUUGGAGCUCCAUUUGGUAGGCAAUUGUUGCCUUCUGUCCAUGGGCGCACCGGACAGUCCGGUGCACCACCGGACAUGAACACUGUGUGAUCUCCUUCCUUAUUUGGUGAAGCCAACUAUUGCAUCUAGGGUCCCCUUGGCACACCGGACAGUCUGGUGGCACACCGAAUAGUCCGAUGCAACCUGAUGACUGUUGGCUCAGGCCAGGCGUCGCCCGUUGAUUUGCGCGCUGAUUUCGCUGUCGGUCGUUAGCACGGGCAUUGCUGGCUCACCGGACAAUCUAUUGCACACUGGACGGUCCGGUGAAUUUUAGUCGCAGCAUCCCCAACAAUUCCCGAGAGCAGCGAGUUCGUCGACGCACCAGCCUAGGCACCGGACAGUUCCAUGAACCCGCAGGCUGGUGCAAGUCUGGCUAGGCACUGCCAACCUUCUCCAAUCCAAUCUCAUUUUGUUUGACAAGGUUCCUAGCUCUUAGAGGAAUAUGUUAGUACCAAAAACAAUUCACUAAGGCUAGAGACAUACCUUGAUUCUUGAUUUGCAUCUCUUUAGCACUUUAGCACAUAUCCACUAAAACAAUAUGUGUUGGACAUCUAAUCACCAAAAUAUUUAUAGAAAUGGCCCAAGGACACAUUUCGCUUUCAAAUCUGCUAAACAUAGAUUAAACAAUAUCUAAUUAUAAAAACAUCUGUUAUGACAAAACUAAUGUUGUUAUUGUGUAGAUAAUGUUAUUACGAAGAUAACACAACUGGAACAGAGUUAUUCGGAGUUACAAUGUGCAAGAUAUGAAUUACUGAAGUUUAUUGAAAUACUUUUAUACUAAAAAUCCAUUUUAGGGCCUAAUUUAUAUAAAUCAUAUAACAAUUUGGACUACGGGUGCUAUUUCUCAUAUCCCUGGGGCUAAAACCUUAAACAUAAGGACCCAUAUGUAAUUAUUUUUCUACUUGCGUGGAUGGAGCGUUGAAUAAAAAAAAGCGCAAGGGGUUUUUAACAAAACCGCGUGGCCAAAGGGGUAUGGUGACACCUAGACCAUGCGAUCCAAAGCUCACGACCCAGAUUAGAUCCUCCACUUAAACAAACUAGUACCUAAUCUUGACCCUCGGAUUACCGAUCAAUCGUUGUGAUUUAAAACGCAAAAAUGGAGGUAUGCUACUUUUAAUCCUGACCACACAGUUUGAUCCGAUGGCCCAGGGCUCAUCUCUCUUCCCUCAUCGUAGGGGCACGGCGGCGCCCAUCCCUGGUCGUGGUGAUUCCUCGCCGGGGAGGGGUCCAUGACUGACCCAGUGAACAAAACGUCUUCGAAAAACGUGUAAAACAAAAUUUAAGCACCAACAAACUUGAUAGCAGAGUCUUGACAUGGCACGGCUUGGUGGCGAGGCCGGUCCAUGCUGCAUGGCCAUCCUCGCUAGAGGAGGGUCCACAGCGAGCUAUCCCAGGCCUCUGUGGCACCCCACUCUUCCGAAGACAGCUCAAUUCGCCCCAGCGUGACCCGACGUAGCUCCCUGACCAUAUCAUGCUCUCCAAUUGCAGACGCUUGGUGGGGUUCCAUGGUGGCGGCCGCCAACUGUUCUCGGCUCCCUAUGUAGGGGUAGUAAUGGAUCAUGGCCCUAAUACUUGCUUCACAAACCAACAAAGCCCUUAAUUUUGUUAGUUCAAAAUUGUAUUGUUUUAUGAUCCGGCCCUAACUUGAUUCGAUCCGUAAAUUUGCUAGGAUAAAUUAAAUGGCCUCUUACCACCCCUAUCCCUAUGUUGUGCUCCCAUUGCUGUUGGGUUCCCAGCAAUGGGGAAGAGGGAGGGGGUCCUAGGAUCCCACUUAUACGCUAGUAAGGCAGGAAAUCAUAUGAACUUCAUCCCCAACUGGCCGGUGAAGAUCUGAGGUUUGCGGCACACUCUGUUGCAACGGGGAAGAAUGCUCUGGUGCCGGGGUCCACCUGCCAGAGGUCGAAGCGGGGAAGGGUGCAGAAGAGACAAGGUGAUGUCUGGAGGGGCCCAUGCACCAACGAGCACGGAGGGAAAGGGAGUCCGCGGCAAGAGGGUUGACAUGUGGGACCCAAUCAUCAGUGAGUGUGUGUGCGGGUGAUUGGGCUGAGGCACGGGUGGAGAAGGGUUACUGGGCCGGCUGGGAAGAAGGGAAGUGAGCCGCCAGCGCUACAGGUGAGAAGACAUGGGCCGACUGUUUCUUUUUUUCCUAUUUUGGUUUUCAAUUUGAAGUUUGAAUUCAAAUUUGAUAUACGCAAACAAAAAGUCCAGCAUGAUGCAAAGUAUAUGAAUAUUUUUAUUGCUAUUCUUAUUACUCUGAGUAAGAAUAUUAUAAAACAUAUAACUUAAUAAAGAUUAAACCACACAAUCAAAUAAUUAAGUAUCCCUUUUACUAUCACUCAUUAAAUAAAAUAAGUAACAACUUUAUCAAAUUAAAUGUUUAUUACAUAUUAUGAUUAUGAAACCUUUAUUGGUCCACAUAUUGGUGAAAUUCAUUCAGAGAAUCUUUCAAUGUAAAAGGUUUAAAUAAAAAUAUUAUUUUAACUCCUCAGUUCUCUUUUCAUUUAGUCAUUUGUUUCAAAGUAUUUUAAUCUUGAGAUAAAUUUUUCGUAAUUUAACUAAAACAUGAUUUUAGGGUACUAUAGGGGCUGAAUCGAUCAGAUAUCAUACGGGUGCGGCGGACCGGCGCGGCAAAGCUCCGGCGAGCUCUAAUUCGCAGUAGACGGAAAGGAAUCGGGACAAAAAAAAGGUGCGGGGACGGUUCCUUACCUCGCGACGGCGCUCGGGAAGGGCUUGGCGCGGCGUUUGGAGCUCCGCGCAAACGGUGCGGCGAGCGCGGAUCAUCUGCGAGCUCGGGCGACAGUGACUGCGCACGAGAGAGGCUAGGAGCGAGUGAAAAGAGGUAGGGGAGAGAGAGAACGGGUGCGGGCGGGGCUCAAAAGGGAGCUAGGGAAUGUGAGGCGUGACGUGGUCGGCUUUCUCGACGUGCGUGUGCACCGGGGUCAGAGGCGGUUGCGGUGAGGACGGAGCUGAUAGGGCGGAUCCAUGGUGCAGCGACUCAGGCGUGCGGGGGCGAACGGGUAACGGCGCUAACGGGGUGGGCCCGCAGCACAAAGAGAGAACAGGGGCGCGCGAAGGGAGCGGCGCCGACAGACAGGCCCCACCAGUUAAAGGGAGAGAAGGGGCGGACGCGCGGGCGUGCAAAAUUGGGCCUAUUGGGUUGAAUGGCCAAGCAGGGGCAGGUUGCGGGCUGCUUUGGCUUUUCCUUUUUAUUCUGAAUUUCUAAUCCCUUUUAUUUUUAUUUUCUCUUUUGAAUUAAAACCUAACCAAACCACAAAUUCAAAUUUGAAUAUUCUAAACAUAUGCAUCAAACAAAAGGUAAUGUCUAGGCUCAGCAUGAUGCAACAUUUCAUGUCUCAUACGGUUUAAUCUACUAAAGUAAUAAUACAUCUCCCAAAUAAAUAGACAAAACUCUAUUAAAAGGGAGAGAAGAGAAAUCUAUAGAGAGGAGAAAAGAGGUAACACCUGAAUUUGGUAGAUAUCAGAGAAGAAUUUUUAUACCACAAAUUCAGGGUGUUACACCAGCUAAUAAAUUAAUUAUUAGUUGUGAGAUAGCUAAUAAUUAGUUACAAUAUUUGCUGAGGUUUGGAACCCAACAACUAAUUUUUAGUAGCUAACUUAGGUUCCAAACAAGGCCUUAAACUCUAUAUUUCAAGAUAAGACACUAAUUUAAGAUAUUGUUGGGAUGCUCUUAACCAAAAAGACACACAUAUCUUUAUGCUUUAUAUUCUAUACUUAAAUAUAAAUGAAAAGUGUAGCAGUGUACAAUUACAAUAAUUAGUUAGAGUAAAACAAAGACAAAAAGGAAAAUAAAAAAGAAUGGUAAAUACAAUUAAAUACAUAUAAAAAUAAAUAAACAGAUAAAACAUAAAAUAUUCGAGCAAAACAUAACAUCCGAUCGAGAAUUAAGAGGGAGAAAAGGAGAAGCUCAUGAUUACGUAUCAAAAGUUAUAUAUGCAACAAACAACAGAAAAAAAGCUACAAAGUAAUGGAUCGAGAGUGCUCAGCGAGACACCUACUAUCGUACGGUGGUAAUUUCUAUCUCAAAUCCCCUUCGGGAUGAAGAGGGGAUCGGGUGGGAAUGAACUAAGGUGCUGUUUGGUUCAAAAAAUGUAACGCAAAUGGUAAUGGUAAUGGUUUACGCUCGAUUACUGGCGGUAACAAAUUUGAAUAAGCUGGUAUCAAAUUUUAGUACGGUAUCUGAUUACGGUUGGACUAUAACAAACAUGAUUUAACGUUAUCCAUUACCCAUUACGUUACAAAUAUAUGAACCAAAUAGCACCUAAUUUUCUGUCCAAUCCUUUUUAAUCACAAAAGGGAUUUAAGUUUCUAAACUAGUCCAACUCCAUUUUCUCAAGGAUUUCCAUUUUUUCAAGGGAAAUUAGUUCAUUUUCACUUGAGAAAAUAAAAAUUCCUUGGGAAAAUAGAGUUGCCAAACUAGCCCUAAAUAGAAUAUUCUAUCCAGAUCAACAAAAUUCUCUACUCCAUCUCAAAAUUCUCCGUAGACAUAUUUACCCUAAAUCUCUAUCCUAUACCAACUAUCACAUAUUCUAUUAUUUAUUUUUAUAUCUACUCUUCCUAUCUAUAUCCAACAGUCUCCUAUUGUCCUGUCUGGCUCGUCUAGGCCACGCUGACACAUAUGCAUGUGAGAAAGAGGAGAGAGAUUAUCAAGUUGCAUGGAAGAGUACGUUGUACUUGGGGUUCUUCUAGGUAUCUUUAAAUUUAGAGCUAGCUUUAUAGUGUAUCGAUGCGGCAUAUUUUUACUCUGUAUAUUCACCCUAUAGCUUUAGGGUUAUCUUCAGGGUAUGCGACUGUGGACAGCUUUAGAAGCUACCGCAACCUCGAUCGUCAUGUCGUACACUGUUUUCAGGCACCGGUGCAUGAAGAAUGGAACAAAUAGAUAUUAGACCGACUUCAACGGUUGUCGUAGCCCAUCCCCCUCCACGCCUGUAGAGGCUACAGUCACACGUUGAACCAUUCAUCGUCUCCCCCUAUGUACUCAACUACCCUGUAACAGUACUAGAGAUUGCACAAUACACCGCUGGCUAUGGGUGAGCGGCAACCGACCCUUCCCUCGAUUCGUGUGAACGACAGUAUAUGUUAGUAGAUGAAAAAUUAGUGAUGGAUGAUAAAUAAGUAUGACAAAUGAUAAUUUAUGGAGGUAGUGAGGUAUAGGGGAUGAAUUUAAUUAGGAGGAACCAUUGCAUAGGGUGAAGAUAUAGGGGGAGAGUUUGCUGACGUGGCAAGAUAGUGGGAUUUAGGGGGAGAAAUAUAGAGACCGUUGAACACGGACUUAGGGACCUCGACGCCACGUCUAUUGACACUGAGCUCAGGCCGCAUAGAUGCCACGUCGUCAUGUAGAGUCGAGACCUUAGCAUCAUCAAUAUUGACGCUGAGACAUGUAAUCUCGGUGUCAAGGAAAAUAACACCGAAAUAAGGGUCCAUUUCUAAAAUUCAAACAAAAAAUACGUAUGUUGAGCACUGUUUGUGGCACCUGGCGCGACCGGACAGUCCGGCCCUAAGCCCGAACAGUCCGCGAUUAGAUCAAAUCAGGCGGAUUAACUCCCAUCUCCACGCGAGUUUAUCCCUCUAAACUCGUAGGAGUUGUUGGAGGACGUCUAGGAAUGGGUCUAGGCCCCCUUAUAUACGACCAAUUUAUCAACCAACAAUCGAACCAAAUUAGUAUAUCUUCUAUUCCUUUAUUUUUGCCCAAGAAAUAGACAGUAACGUAGCCGUCUUCACCUCAACCUUCACCACCCUUCGACUCUAUGUCGUCUGGAGGUGUCUUAGAUGGCCUACCGAUCUCAAGACAAAACCUAAGAUCUCUCCUCCCCGAUGGGGUCUCUACCGAGGGGUCAGAUUUAGGUGUUGUUGGCAAACGCCGCCACCUCUAUGCAUGCGCGGACCAUCCGACCACCAGGCGCGGAUCGUCCAACUCAGCGUAGAGAAGACUGAGCUCAUGUCGCAGGUCGCGGACCAUCCGGUCCUCGGUUGUGGACCGUCUGGCCGCAGGUCGUGGACCUUCCUGCCGCAAAAAGCACCACCGUCGAUACACCUCGCAGUGAUUGGCGGCCAGAUCGGCACCAACACACUUUUUGGCGACUCCGCUGGGGACAUCACAUGAAGAUCUAUCAGAUCGGCCUCCAAUGGCCAGUUCAAAAGAUAAUUUCAACGUCUCUCCCAGCAACAUCAUCGAGCUAACUAUGGAGACUCAAUCGACUGAAGAUCAGCAGGAGUUCGAGGAACAUAAGGAGUAGCUAAUCAAGAAAGCAUAGACGAAAUUCUUGGCCAACUUUAAGGUGGAUAGGAAUCAUAAGGUCGUCCAGCAGCAGGCGACUGAUCUAACUUCGAUCUGAACUGUUGCAGCUAACCCCAAAUUAAGUGAAACAAACAAAAUCCAAUCUUUUAGAUCCUACAUAGAUGAGCAAUGAGAACAAAUGCAACAAAUCAUAGGGGGUAUGCAAGAUGACUAUAAAGGCUAAGUUUAGAAGAAACGAUAAGAAGAGGUUGAAUUUACAUUUAAUGUUGGCAAGUGUGACAGAAUAUUUAACGAGUUACUCAAAAGCGGCAACAUUAAAAUAAAUCACAAUAUUCCAUCUACUAACAAGCUUAAACUUCAUGCUUAUUGCAAGUGGCAUAAUUUGUUCUCUCAUGCCACUAAUGAUUGUAAUAUAUUUUGAUGACAGGUCCAAUCGGCCAUCAAUGAGGGCCGAUUAAAGUUUCAAGAAAUGCAGGUGGACACAAAGUCCUUUCCGAUGAACAUGAUCAAUUUAACGACAAGAAAGUCCUGAUUUGGCCUAAUGCGACUGAUAAGGGCAAAGGAAAAUAGAGUACAGUCGGUGAUCCACGAGAGGUUGAUGAAAUUACCAAAGUUUCUUGCAGGAAAGUGGUUGCAGAAAAGACCCCGGAUGAAGGGGAGACAUUGAAGAUCACUAUCC
rnacentral:lncRNA from 1 species